rnacentral:rRNA from 2 species
AAAAACAUCGCCUCUUGCUUCAGUGAAUAAGAGGUCACGCCUGCCCUGUGACUAUAUGUUUAACGGCCGCGGUAUUUUGACCGUGCAAAGGUAGCGCAAUCACUUGUCCUUUAAAUGUGGACCUGUAUGAAUGGCAUAACGAGGGCUUAGCUGUCUCCUUUCUCAAGUCAAUGAACUUGAUCUCCCCGUGCAGAAGCGGGGAUAAAACCAUAAGACGAGAAGACCCUAUGGAGCUUUAGACAAAAAACAGCCCCUGUCAAUAAACCCUAAAUAAAGGAAAUAAACCUAGUGAACCUGUUUUAAUGUCUUUGGUUGGGGCGACCGCGGGGUAACAAAAAACCCCCAUGUGGAAUGAAAACACCCUUUUUAAAACCAAGAGUCACCACUCUAGGAUACAGAACAUCUGACCAAUAAUGAUCCGGCUAAAGCCGAUUAACGAACCGAGUUACCCUAGGGAUAACAGCGCAAUCCUCUUUUAGAGUCCAUAUCGACAAGAGGGUUUACGACCUCGAUGUUGGAUCAGGACAUCCUAAUGGUGCAGCCGCUAUAAA